UACGGGGGGGGCAAGCGUUGUUCGGAAUUACUGGGCGUAAAGGGCUCGUAGGCGGCCAACUAAGUCAGACGUGAAAUCCCUCGGCUUAACCUGGGAACUGCAUCUGAUACUGGAUGGCUUGAGUUCGGGAGAGGGAUGCGGAAUUCCAGGUGUAGCGGUGAAAUGCGUAGAUAUCGUAAGGAAGACCAGUGGCGAAGGCGGGUCUCUGGACAGUUCCUGACGCUGAGGCACGAAGGUCAGGGGAGCAAACGGG
rnacentral:rRNA from 1 species